UGAACGAGUAUGAUGGUUUAAUAAAUUAAUAAGAUUUUUGAAUGAAUAAUUUAAUUUUUAUUUUAAGUAAAAAUACUUAAAUGGCUUAGGGGGACGAUAAGACCCUAAAAUCUUUAACUUGUUACGGCUGAGUGAUAGUAGUGAUAAAGGGGGCUUCAAAUAAAGUUUUAGCUGGGGUAGUUUUUUUAUAUAAAUUAAGAUUAGAUAGGGCUGAGAAGGUUUUAUGUUCCUUUACAUAAGGAAAAAUUGGACUAGUUACUUUAGGGGUAACAGCGUAAUAUUUUUGGAGAGAUCUUAUUUAUAAAAAUGAUUGCGACCUCGAUGUUGAAUUAAAUUAAGUUUAUGGGGCAGAAAACAUAAAAUAGAGGUUUGUUCAACCUGUGAAAUUUUACAUGAUUU
rnacentral:rRNA from 1 species